UACGGAGGAUCCGAGCGUUAUCCGGAUUUAUUGGGUUUAAAGGGUGCGCAGGCGGGGGAUUAAGUCGGCGGUGAAAUUUUGCAGCUCAACUGUAAAAGUGCCUUCGAAACUGGUUUCCUUGAGUGUAGAUGAAGUAGGCGGAAUUUGUGGUGUAGCGGUGAAAUGCAUAGGUAUCACGAGGAACUCCAAUUGCGCAGGCAGCUUACUAAACUACUACUGACGCUCAGGCACGAAGGCGUGGGGAUCAAACAGGAUUAGAUACCCGCGUAGUCCCUGA
rnacentral:rRNA from 1 species